rnacentral:piRNA from 1 species
UGCAGUACCUCAACUGUUGCAGGACCUU